rnacentral:ncRNA from 1 species
GGAGAGCGUCUGUUGUACAUCAACACUAGAUACUGCUAAUGCCACUAUAGAGGUAAAGUGUAUAAUCCCUGUCCGGUGCAGUAACUUGUAAACGGCGGCUGUAUUAUGAUGGUCCAGAGGUAGGAAAAUCCUUGUCGGGUAAUUAUCGUCGUGCGCAUGAAAGGUGGUCCGACUCUUC